rnacentral:rRNA from 1 species
UACGUAGGGACCAAGCGUUGUCCGGAAUCAUUGGGCGUAAAGAGCGUGUAGGCGGCUUGUUAAGUCUUGCGUGAAAUCUCGGGGCUCAACCCCGAGCGGUCGUGAGAAACUGGCAGGCUAGAGUGCGGGAGAGGAGAGUGGAAUUCCUGGUGUAGCGGUGAAAUGCGCAGAUAUCAGGAGGAACACCGGUGGCGAAGGCGGGUCUCUGGGCCGUAACUGACGCUGAGGAGCGAAAGCAUGGGGAGCGAACAGG